rnacentral:miRNA from 1 species
UCUUGUGAUGAGGGAGUCUGAGG